rnacentral:rRNA from 1 species
UACACACCGCCCGUCACACCAUGGGAGCUGACUCAACCAGAAGACGAACAGGCUAACCGCAAGGAGGCCUACGGCGAAGGUGGGGUUGGUGACUGGGGUG